rnacentral:rRNA from 1 species
CGAACGGGUGAGUAACGCGUGAGGAACCUGCCUCAAAGAGGGGGACAACAGUUGGAAACGGCUGCUAAUACCGCAUAAGCCCACGGCUCGGCAUCGAGCAGAGGGAAAAGGAGCAAUCCGCUUUGAGACGGCCUCGCGUCCGAUUAGCUAGUUGGUGAGGUAAUGGCCCACCAAGGCAACGAUCGGUAGCCGGACUGAGAGGUUGAACGGCCACAUUGGGACUGAGACACGGCCCAG